CUUGCCCUUUUCUCUCAAUCGCGCUCCGCUAUCUAUUCCUCUUCUUCUCCGUUUGUGGGUGGUCUCCACUGGGUGUCACCGGAUCUCCUUCCCUCUGUCUCGUUUUCCUCUCUAUCUUGGAGCUGAUUCGUGGGUCUGACCGAAAUGUUCUUCGUUGAGUCUAGCCUUCUACUUGUUUCGUCUUCAAGCUAGGUCGCGGUUCUCUGUUGGGUCUGAUCAGAAACCUCUUGCCUCAUCUCUUCUUCCUCUUUCCUUCAUCUUGUUCCAUUUUCGAGCUGGUUCAUAUGGGUCUUUGAUGGGUCUCGCCUCCUUCUUCGUUCUGUCUUUGUUUAUGAUCUCUUCCCUUUUGACAGCAGUUGCUUCAGUCCAACCCAUCAAGUUGAGCGUCGAGGAGCAACCUUGGAGGCUGUGACAUGUUAUGCGGUUAUUGGAGGCUUGCUGCUAUCUAUCCAUGUGAUUAGGCUAUAUAUUGGUUUUGUUCUUUGCAACGGGUCCAUUUAAAGGUACUCACAAGUCUC